AAAAAAAGUAUUUUGGUUUAUUGCAAUAUGCUGACUGUUUUAACUCAUAGAGAAUAUUGUUCAAAUAAACACAUAAUAAAUACAAAUACCUAUUGAUGUUAACAGAUAUGGCUGUGUUCAGAAAUAAACAUACAUUCAUUGUUAAGUAAACAACCCAAUUUAUUUGAUUGUCAAGCAUUCUUUAAAAACUCAUACGUAAUUGUCAAUCAUACUUUUAAAAAGUCAUACACAAUUGUCAAGUAUACUUUAAAAGCUUGGACAUUAUAAAAAUGACACAACCAGGAAGUUGUAUGAAUAAUUAAAGAGUAUCUCUAUGCAUGCUAGAUUAAAAAAAAGACAACCUAAACAACUUAUAAUGGCCCUGCCUAUUUGAGCUCGCAUACAGAGGGCAGAACUUUAAAAGAAACCACACAAUUUUGAGAAAUGCGCUAGAUAUCCUAGGGGUGACUGUUUAUGGAAAGCAUUUUAAGGGCAGAUGAGUAAGUUAUGUUUGUGUAUUUGGUUUCUAAAGUGUUUUUAGGAGAGGUGAAAAUGGUUAUAAAAAAUGUGGGUAAAUAUUUACAUGGGCGGUAUUUCCGAAAAAUAAUGUUAAAAAUCCGAAAAUACCUGUGUAUAAUGCUCUUCAACUUCCUCUUUUCAUUAAAAGCGGCGGAGAUUAGAAAUUCCAAAUACUUUAGGAGAUAUCGAAUUUUUAAAUUUCUUCAUAUGUAGUUGAGCGGUAUUUGCGAAAAAAAAAUGUUAAAAAUCCGAAAAUACCUUUAUUAUAUGCUCUUCAACUUCCUCUUUUCAUUAAAAGCGGCGGAGAUUAGAAAUUCCAAAUACUUUAGGAGAUAUCGAAUUUUUAAAUUUCAGCACAAAACCAGCGCAUUCCUGUGGCGUGCGUGCACCAUUGUUUCUUGUUUACGUACGAGUAUUUUUUUUUUAUUGGAUAAUGAUGUCACGUGAUUGUUCGUGAUAGGCCAGAAUUCAAAUUAACUAAUACGUGAUUAUUUAGUUCAAUUAUUGUUUAAAACGGUGUUUAAUUACCGCCUCCAACUUAGGUGAGUUUUUAACGUUUCUAAUUUUAAAGUCUUAUUUGUUAUUUUGAUAUUGUUGCGCAAGUAAUAAGUAACAAAAAAAUUUACCUCAGUUACUGUACAUCCUUUGUUACGGGUUUGUUAGGUAAGGUCAGUUACAUUAUAAAUAAUUUAAAACUAAGGAAUAAUUAAAAUUAAUUCACAUUAUUUUUAAUAUCACCUUAGUUUGAAAGUAUUUAUAAUGUAACUGACCUGACCUAAUCGACCAUUUUAGUUUACUGUUCACCCUUUGUCCGGGUUUGUUUGGUCAGGUCAGUUACAUUAUAAAUAUUUUAAAACUAAACAGCCAUUAAAAUUAAUUCACAAAAUAAUUUUUAAUGUCGGCUUAGUUUGAAAGUAUUAAUAAUGUAACUGACCUGACCUAAUCAACCAUUUUAUUAAUUACGCAUUCACGAUUCACGUAUUCACGUCUCACGAACACACGGAAAAAUAACAAAAAUGGCGCCGCUCGAAUGGUUCCACAGGUCUUGUAUUGCAAAAUUAAAAAAUUCGAUAUCUCCUAAAGUAUUUGGAAUUUCUUAUCUCCGCCGCUUUUAAUGAAAAGAGGAAGUUGAAGAGCAUAUCAUAAAGUUGUUCCGUGCACGACGAGAAGACUGCGCGCCAGUCCAGAGGAGACACCGCGCUAGAAGCACCAGCGAGCGUCACGCUUAUCAUCCCGCCUCGCUGACACAGAUACACACACCCUGACGAGGCCUAAAGUUUCUUUCAACACGCCUGACUGAAUACUUGUUUUUUGUUUCGCGGGCAUCCAGAAUCCUGCUCCAGCUCGUAAAGAACUCGACGUGAUGGUUGAAGAUGCAGAGAAAAGGGAAAUAUCCUGUUGUUCCUCGAAACCAUGGCAGGAUGCCGCAACCAGAGUUUCCUUCGACUGCCGCGCGGCAGUGGCCCGCUACUGUGCACCCUCCGGGGCUGGACGGAGGGGAAGCGGCGGGAGCGAUGACCGGCAAACGGAGCAGCCCUGACUACCGCUACGCCCCCACGCCGAGCGAGACGUCGUCCUGACGACUCAGAGGAGCAGUUGCCAGAGGCGGGCAGCGGGGAAGCAGCUACGGGGAGCGUGCCGUGAACAUGGUUCUCGCAAGUGGACGCCAACUUCGGGGCCAGGCUGUGCGAAGGUUUGCUGUGCCAGCAAGCCAAGGCCAGGCUCUAGGCGCGCCGCGCACAGCGCUCGGGGCGCACGGAACACAAGAGUUGCCCGACGUUCCAACACCCGUCAGUGCCACCGUCAAAGUUUAUAUUCCUGCGUGCCUUCUCACUGAACACUUCUAUUCCAUUUUGGGUUGUGGACACAUCAUUUGUAAUGAAGUCGCCAGUAGCGUUCCGGAGCGUUCCGGACGACAUGAGCGGGAUCGCGGGGUUCUCCCCCGGGCUCUGCGUAGCUCGAGACAUCUCGGGCAGCGCCUGCCAGCUCGCCGUGAACGGCGUCCCAUAUGCCAGCCCUGCCCCUCUCGGUGGAUCCCGUGCUGUGUGACUUCACCACCCUUUCUCUCUCUCUCUCUCUCUCCUGUACCACCUUAUUUCCUCUCUCCAUCCCUUCUUGUUUCGCUGCAUAAAAAAGAACAGUUUUCCGAAAUUGAAACCCACGUGGUAAAUUUCAUCAAAGAGAAGAGAGGAGACGGAAUUCCAAUUUCACGAGUCGUAAUGAAAUAAAAAAAACCGAGAUACUGCUCGUGAACUGAACAUUCCACGGACUAGCUCCAAGGCGAGCAAAGAAUUAAAGUGGAAAUGGAAAAAAAAUUGCCCUGCAGAAAAAAAGUAAGAAUUCAUUGACACAUGUCCUGCAGUUUUUUUUCCCCUGUUGCGACUAAACUUGUUGGUACGUACUUUGAUGGAUAUGUUGGCAGGGAUGGUAGACCGCGCGCGAGAUGAGCUGCUGAAGCCCAGCGCUGGUGGUGUUUUGCCGUGCCGUGCCGUGCCUGCGGCGCGGAGUUCUCGGUGACGUGCGGCGACGAGGGAGUCGUGGGCCGGAGCUCACGGGUAUCAGGAAGUCACGGAGAAGUUCCUGUUGGCGGGACUGGACACGUCAACAGGCGGGGUGACGAAUUGCGACAGCAAGGCUGGGUUUAUAAACCAGG